ACGCUGGCGGCAGGCCUAACACAUGCAAGUCGAGCGGUAGAGAGAAGCUUGCUUCUCUUGAGAGCGGCGGACGGGUGAGUAAUGCCUAGGAAUCUGCCUGGUAGUGGGGGAUAACGUUCGGAAACGGACGCUAAUACCGCAUACGUCCUACGGGAGAAAGCAGGGGACCUUCGGGCCUUGCGCUAUCAGAUGAGCCUAGGUCGGAUUAGCUAGUUGGUGAGGUAAUGGCUCACCAAGGCGACGAUCCGUAACUGGUCUGAGAGGAUGAUCAGUCACACUGGAACUGAGACACGGUCCAGACUCCUACGGGAGGCAGCAGUGGGGAAUAUUGGACAAUGGGCGAAAGCCUGAUCCAGCCAUGCCGCGUGUGUGAAGAAGGUCUUCGGAUUGUAAAGCACUUUAAGUUGGGAGGAAGGGUUGUAGAUUAAUACUCUGCAAUUUUGACGUUACCGACAGAAUAAGCACCGGCUAACUCUGUGCCAGCAGCCGCGGUAAUACAGAGGGUGCAAGCGUUAAUCGGAAUUACUGGGCGUAAAGCGCGCGUAGGUGGUUUGUUAAGUUGGAUGUGAAAUCCCCGGGCUCAACCUGGGAACUGCAUUCAAAACUGACUGACUAGAGUAUGGUAGAGGGUGGUGGAAUUUCCUGUGUAGCGGUGAAAUGCGUAGAUAUAGGAAGGAACAUCAGUGGCGAAGGCGACCACCUGGACUAAUACUGACACUGAGGUGCGAAAGCGUGGGGAGCAAAC
rnacentral:rRNA from 1 species